AACACACGAGUCAAGAUUUUCUAGAAGAUUCCACCAAAGGAUCACGAAAGUAGAGGAACAGCCCUCUCAGCUGUGGUAUUACCAAGCAAACCUGCUGCUGGUUCUCUGCCAGCCAUGCUGUCUGCUUCCAGCCUGGUACUUAUGAUCUUGUUGAUGUUGGGAGGGACCAGUGGAGACUCAGUGACCCAGACAGAAGGCCCUGUUACCCUCCUAGAGGGGAAAACUUUGACUCUGAGGUGCACUUACCAGACCAGCUCUGGGUAUUCAGUUUAUCUCUUCUGGUAUGUCCAGUAUCCAAAAAAAGAGCCUGUUCUUCUCCUGAAAAGCUCAUCGGAUAAUCAGGAGGUCCACAACGGAGAAUUUCAGGCCAAACUGGUGAAGAGUAACAACUCCUUCCACCUGACAAAACAUUCAGUGCGAAUGGCAGACUCGGCGGUAUACUACUGUGCUGUGAGUGACACAGUGUUGGAGGCUGCAGGGGGAGCUGAGCACAAACCCAGAAAAAUGCAGGUGGGGCACUGGCUGUGGGCAGCCCUGGGUGGGAGAGUUAUAUUCUCUCCCUAA